rnacentral:rRNA from 1 species
CCUACGGGAGGCAGCAGUGGGGAAUAUUGCACAAUGGGGGAAACCCUGAUGCAGCGACGCCGCGUGAGUGAAGAAGUAUUUCGGUAUGUAAAGCUCUAUCAGCAGGGAAGAAAAUGACGGUACCUGAUUAAGAAGCCCCGGCUAACUCCGUGCCAGCAGCCGCGGGAAUACGUAGGGGGCAAGCGUUAUCCGGAUUUACUGGGGGUAAAGGGAGCGUAGACGGCAGAACAAGUCUGGAGUGAAAUGCCGGGGCUUAACCCCGGAACUGCUUUGGAAACUGUGCAGCUAGAGUGCAGGAGAGGUAAGUGGAAUUCCUAGUGUAGCGGUGAAAUGCGUAGAUAUUAGGAGGAACACCAGUGGCGAAGGCGGCUUACUGGACUGUAACUGACGUUGAGGCUCGAAAGCGUGGGGAGCAAACAGGAUUAGAUACCCUGGUAGUC